GACAGAGGGUGCAAACGUUGUUCGGAAUUACUGGGCGUAAAGCGUGUGUAGGCGGUUAUGUAAGUCGGAUGUGAAAGCCCCGGGCUCAACCCGGGAAGUGCACUCGAUACUGCGUAGCUUGAGUACUGGAGAGGUUGGUGGAAUUCUCGGUGUAGAGGUGAAAUUCGUAGAUAUCGAGAGGAACACCGGUGGCGAAGGCGGCCAACUGGACAGAUACUGACGCUGAGACACGAAAGCGUGGGGAGCAAACAGG
rnacentral:rRNA from 1 species